UUGAGCGCUGGGACAAUCUGAUAUCCCUGAAACAGAAGUACUUCCUUCAGGAAAGCCAAAUUCUUUUUGUUCAGAUCCCAUUUCUAUUGAGCUAGUCAAGAGCUGAAGUCUUUAAAGGAAAGUUCUGUUACCUGAAGGACCUGCAAACUAAUCUAUGUGGCCACCAUUUGGCAGGAGCGAUGAAACUCUUUGGAUGAUGGAACUGUCUCCAGGCACACUUGAGAAGCCCAGUCAAAAUGGAGGAGCCGAGCAACAGAGGACCCUCACUGGGGUACCCUUCCUCUGGUGGUGGUGAUGGUGGUGAAGACGGCAUCUUGGUUGUACUGAACUGCUUUGUGAUGAUGUCACUAUUGAACAAAUCUGAGCAUGGCCUCAUCUUCAGAUGGAGAGAAAUGGAAGAGAAGACACACAUGUUGUUUGUGCUGUGUGUGCUCAUCCCACAAUUGCUACUAAUGUGGGAGAAAGGCUCUGGUUUUUUCCACACAAAUCCCCUAAAACAUUUAUAAAAUGUUUCUUAAAUGUU